GUGAAGUUAUUUAUUUAGUGGUCAUUUAGUGUAGUUUAUUUAGUGAAGUGUCAAAAAUUGAGGUUAGCUGUUAUCCAGGUUUUCCCGAAACCGCUCUCUUCUGGAAAUCGAGAGACAACAAAUUGGUAAUCUCGAUGUUUCAGAAGAAUCGGUGAUUUGAAUAAAGUUGAAAGUGAUGAAAAUGCAUCCAUAGACUUCACUGUUAUGAUUUAAUAGCACAAUUGGAAUGAUGAUUCAUCAAAUUCCUUCCAGUGAGCGAAGCCUUCCAGAUAUAUUAUAGUUCAUCCUGUGCCUCC